rnacentral:rRNA from 1 species
CCUAGCUUGCUAGAAGAUGACGAGUGGCGGACGGGUGAGUAAUGCUUGGGAACUUGCCUUUGCGAGGGGGAUAACAGUUGGAAACGACUGCUAAUACCGCAUAACGUCUUCGGACCAAACGGGGCUUAGGCUCCGGCGCAAAGAGAGGCCCAAGUGAGAUUAGCUAGUUGGUGGGGUAAAGGCUCACCAAGGCAACGAUCUCUAGCUGUUCUGAGAGGAAGAUCAGCCACACUGGAACUGAGACACGGUCCAGACUCCUACGGGAGGCAGCAGUGGGGAAUAUUGCACAAUGGGGGAAACCCUGAUGCAGCCAUGCCGCGUGUGUGAAGAAGGCCUUCGGGUUGUAAAGCACUUUCAGUUGUGAGGAAAAGUUAGUAGUUAAUACCUGCUAGCCAUGACGUUAGCAACAGAAGAAGCACCGGCUAACUCCGUGCCAGCAGCCGCGGUAAUACGGAGGGUGCGAGCGUUAAUCGGAAUUACUGGGCGUAAAGCGCACGCAGGCGGUUUGUUAAGCUAGAUGUGAAAGCCCCGGGCUCAACCUGGGACGGUCAUUUAGAACUGGCAGACUAU